UUAAUCUCUAUUUCUCAAGAAAAACCUAAGUCAAAAAGGGACAAAUCAGUAUUUGCAAACACUAAUUCAACAUUUAAAGCAUAAAUCAAGCCAAAUAUCAUUUACCCAUAAACAUUUAAGCUUUGAAAUUGAAGACCCAUCAAAUACUCAUACUAGGGUUGACCCGCAACCCUAGCUAAUGGGUGUAGCUACCUAUAAUCAAAGAAGAAUUUGAAGAUUGAGAUGAAAUAUAAGCCAUAAAAAGUAAUUACAAUAUUAAAAUAUAAGUUUAAUUGCUAAAGAGGUUCGAAAAUUACUCAAAAAGGUAAAAAAAAAAACGGUUCAUGUGCUCAGCUAAAAAACAAAUGACCUAAAAAUCUGAAAAAGAACUAUUUAUACACAGCUAAAUUUUUCGAACAAAAAUACCCCUACGGAAGUUCCGCUGACAGCAAAAAAUGGACCGCUGCAGUGCUAAGACUACCGCACCCGCGCAAAACCAAGUGCGAACCACGAUCUUCAGCUUUUAGCUGUAUUAUUGGUUCUCUAAAUCUGGCUUCCGCUGAGGGAAGUAACAUCAACGCAGCCACGCUAAGGAUACCACUGCCGCAAAAUUUCACCGCGGGCAGAGUACUUGUUAAGCCCAAAAUUGCAGCUCUCUUAACCUUGCCACCGAUGAGAGCGAAGUCAAGACUGCCUCCGCGAUAGACCCUCCGCAUCCGUGGUUGUUUCUUUACUGUCAGCUCUCUUUUGACCCAGCUUUUGAACUUGUACAAGUUUCACUCCUUUUUGAGAUGGUUAUGACUUCCUUGUUUCUUUUUUACCAAACACUACAAAGAAACACAAUAAGUUAGCUUUCAAGAAUACUUGUACACACUUUUAAUACAAAACUUAAGCAAAAAGGAGCAUAAAAUAGUCUAGAAUUCCUAGUUAUAAAUCUUCCCUUCUUUACUGUUGGUACUGUGCUCAUCUGUUGAUUUUCCUUCUAGUUAUCCAUAGCAUUGGUCCUCUCUUCCUUAUUGGGGCUUGCUGUCGCACCUCCUUUUUACCGCCCCGCGGGCGAGCAAGGGAGUUUUUUAAAUUAAAGGACAAUCGGAACGGGAUUUAUUAUUAAUUGUUCGGUGUCCCAAGUCACCGAUUGAAUAUAUGAACCAAGGAAAGAGAUGACUCUAUUCAGAAUCCGCAAACCAGGAAUUCGGAUAAGGAAUUCUAUUAACCCGGGAGAAGGUGUUAGGCAUUUCGGGUUCAGUGGUUCUAGCACGGUCGCUCAACUGUUGUAUUUAACUUUAACUGAUUUUAUUACAUGAAGAACCUAUGUGCCAAUUUUACUUUUUACCGCUUUUAUUUAAUAUAUUUAUAGAAAGUGAACGUCGUUUAAAGUGGGCUUUCGGAUUGCGUCGCCGGAGCCUUCAAUCAUAUGUGCCAUUUUACUUUUUACCACUUUUAUUUAAUAUAUAUUUAUUUGAGAAAGUAGACGUCGUUUAAAGUGUACUUUCGGAUUGCGCCUCCGGAGCCUGCAAUCCUAGGCAAACUCUAUCCAAAGUUUUAGGAUUUGAAUUUGGGCCGCAUAAAAUACCCACCCAUAUUUAGGAAUGUAAUUUCUUAAAGCCGCGCCUAAUAGAGUCUAGUGCGUUAUAAUCUUUUGGGAGGGUAGUGAAAUUUGUUAAACGACCCUUCCCAAUUUUCUAAAUAUUUUUAAACCUUUACUGAGGCCCCUCAAUUUUUGUGUUUUAAUCGUCUCCACCAAUUAACUAUGAAAAAUUUAAAGGAUUCUAGUUCCUACUUCAUUUAAAGAAAAACAAAUCAGAAAUCCCAUAUCCCAAUAUCAAAUAAACUUACAUCAAUAUCUUUAUUCAAUUAAAAAUAAAUAAAAUGUCCACACCAAACAUUUGUUAAACAAUAUCAAUUGAAAGCACACUAUCAGAUCCAAACAACGAUUCUAAAUCAUGUUUGCUUAAUAUUUCAUCAAAACAUAUUUACUAUAUAAAAAUUCUUCGUUCCUUAAGAGCUCAAAUUCCAUAACCCAUCAAAGUUAAAAACAACAACUAAGAAUCUAAGAUUAUCUUUUGCAAUUCCAAAUCUAUUACUGCCGACAAACUGUUAAAAACAAUAACUAAGAAUCUAAUAUUAUCUUUUGCAAUUCCAAAUCUAUCACUGCCAACAAAUUUAUGCCUUAAAAUUGUUAAUUUAUUACAUCAUUUACAAGUCCAGAAAAAGGAAUUAUACUAGUUAUUCAUGCUCGUAAAAAAUAAUAUUAAGCUUUUCAUGUAGAGACAUAAACUAAUUUUAGGCAUUUAACUAUAAAAAAUAGAAUUUCAUAUCUCUCUUCUGUAAAUUCAGCAAACAAAGAAAACAUCCAACAUUUAUUUUUGGGAGAUUUAAGCAACAAAAUAAUUAAAAGCUUUCAACUAGACCAAUAAAAAUAAAAUAUUGAUAUACAAUUAUAUCAGUAGAAACAAAGAGAGAAAAAGGACCUUUGAAUAGAUAGAUCUCAACUCGAAUUACAGCAGCUUAUCGAUUCCGAAUCAAAACUUUCACCGGAACUCAACGGACCUUGCUUUCCACAGAACCUCAACCACGACAGUCGAUGACCUCGACGAGCCUUCAAAUUUGAACGUUUCAGGUGAUUUUAGGACGGGUUGGGGGCUGUUGGUGGUCGUAUGGCUGAUGAAGAAAAAGCAUGGAGAGGGUUUUGUUACUCAAUGUCUAUGUAUAUAGAGUAUAUCUCCAGUGUAUAUAGUACACCCCCGUCUUCGUUAAGAAGUCACCCCCCCCUUUCGUUUUUUCUUCANNN
rnacentral:lncRNA from 1 species